ensembl:lncRNA
AACAAUUUUAGCUAAAAAGCUUUAAAACUCUUGUUGAGCUCUUAUACAUUUUACCAUAAUUUUUUCUAAUGUCCCAUAACAGUGGUCUGCUAUCAAUAUCUGGAAACUGCCAGAAGGGGUCAGCAAUUGGAGCCCCUUCUUAUGUCUAGUUUUAUUACUAUGGUCUUGACUUUAUAUAUCUAUUACUCAUCCUUUUCUCCUGGGCAUUCAAGACCAAGUUAAAAUGAGAUAUAUAUUAAUUAGAAUUAACAUCUUAUUUUCUGUCAAGGUCAGUUAAGUCUCCUCAGGCAUUACUUUGGAAUCAUGUAUAGAGCCUCUCAGCUCCUGUCAGUGUCAGCUGUCUGGAUGGGUCACAGCUUUGCUAGACCAUGUUGCUUUCUGUAAAACCAUGGGAGAUUUUUCCCUCUGGGUGACCCUCCUUUGGCACACAUUAUGUUUAUUGAUUCUUAUAUUUUGGGGUCCAACAAUAUCCUUGCUCAGGAGGUUAGGUGACUCACUAAAGUUUUAGGAUCUUAUAGAAAAUGUUCUCUCAUGUCCUGGGUCCUUGUUAACCUUGGAGGGCCAGGGCCAAAAUACUGGCUAUCUUCUUAGCACAAUUAUCUUUCUAGUUUUGGUCUCUAAACUUCAGUUGUUGAACACCCAGAAGAUCAAUAACAUUAGCAUGAGCUUAACUAUUAUAAUUUUACCUGGAUAUCAAGCACUUUGAAACAUAAAGUAUAGUUAGAGGACUGUUAUUUUUAUUAACCAUGGUUGUUCUAGUAGUUGAACCCCUAUAAAAUGUUAAGUGAUAACAGUUACAUAGUUUUAUGGAAAAAACUUAAAAUCAAGAACCACACAUACUAUUUUAGCAUGACAAGUAUGAUGACAUUAUCUUUGUAACACACUUAAAUAUUCAUUGUAGUAUAAAAUAGCCUAGUAAGUAUCACAAUUAUAUGAAACCCUUUGUCCUUUAGUUUUGUACCAAAAGCAUUUUUUAAUAAAAUCUUAUUGUUUGUCCCACAGAAAAUUUAACCUUUUGAAGAUGAGCAAUGUAAACAUAUCACAUUAGUGUUUACCAAUAUAUAUUGGGUGUUUCUCAGUACUUACAUCUGUCAAACGGCAAAAUAGGAAUAGAAACGAAAUCUUCUAGCAGGACAAUCCCAGAGCUCAUACAAGAGAGGAAAUUAUAAAGAUCAGAGGAGAAAUCAAUGCAAUGGAGACUAAGAGAACUAUGUAAAAAAUCAGUGAAGCCAAGAGUUGGUUCUUUGAAAGAAUCAACAAAAUUGACAAACCCUUAGCCAACCUUAUCAGAAAAAGGAAAGAAAAGGCCCAAAUCCAUGCAAUUAAGAAUGAAAAGGGUGAAAUGACAACAGACCCAGCAGAAAUCCAGAGGAUCAUCAAUACCUACUUCCAGAACCUAUACGCCAAUAAGAUGGAAAACACAGAAGAAAUGGACAAAUUCCUAGAUACAUAUGAAUUACCAAAGUUGAACAAAGACCUAAAAAUUCUAAAUAACCC